AAUAACCAAGAUCGAAUGAGACUCAAUAGAGUAUCGUAGCAUCGGUUCGUAGGAAAAGAACCUGACCCUCACAACUGUCCGUUCUAGUUUGUUUACAUUUUCAUCGUUUUAGCCCAAUAAAUAGGCAAAUACAUUGUCUUUGGAAAAUUCAUUACAUUGGUCCAGUUCAAGUGAAUAAAUUUAAAAAAGCUGAACUACUAAGCAACAAUGAAGUUGCAUAAAUUGCAUAAGA
rnacentral:lncRNA from 1 species